rnacentral:rRNA from 1 species
AUUGAACGCUGGCGGCAGGCCUAACACAUGCAAGUCGAGCGGAUGAAGGGAGCUUGCUCCUGGAUCAGCGGCGGACGGGUGAGUAAUGCCUAGGAAUCUGCCUGGUAGUGGGGGAUAACGUCCGGAAACGGGCGCUAAUACCGCAUACGUCCUGAGGGAGAAAGUGGGGGAUCUUCGGACCUCACGCUAUCAGAUGAGCCUAGGUCGGAUUAGCUAGUUGGUGGGGUAAAGGCCUACCAAGGCGACGAUCCGUAACUGGUCUGAGAGGAUGAUCAGUCACACUGGAACUGAGACACGGUCCAGACUCCUACGGGAGGCAGCAGUGGGGAAUAUUGGACAAUGGGCGAAAGCCUGAUCCAGCCAUGCCGCGUGUGUGAAGAAGGUCUUCGGAUUGUAAAGCACUUUAAGUUGGGAGGAAGGGCAGUAAGUUAAUACCUUGCUGUUUUGACGUUACCAACAGAAUAAGCACCGGCUAACUUCGUG